AUGCAGGAGGCCCGCUGCCAGCUUUAUAGAAGCAAGACCACAGAGCCACCCAGCUCCAGGGACACUGCAAAGGGCCUGACAGGUGGCAGGCAGAACAAGAGCCAUUUCACCAGCAGGAAGGGCCCCAACAUGCAGUCUGGACUGCCUGCUCUCUUGUGCACAGUGGUGGCCUUCAUCCUCUUCGGUUCCAGCAAUACACAGAGCGUCACUCAAACUCCAGAAAGCCAGCCUCCUGCCACACCAUCCGUUUUCAUCAUGCGAAAUGGGACGACGGUUGCUUGUCUGGUGAAGGAUUUCUAUCCUAAGGAUAUAGACAUAAAACUCGAAUCAACCAAGAAACUAGAAGAAUUUGACCCUGCUAUUGUCGUCUCCCCCAGUGGGAAGUACAGUGCUGUCAAGCUUGGUCGGUAUGAAGAUCCAAAUUCGGUGACCUGUUCGGUUGCACACAACAGUAAAGUUGUGAGCUCCACUAACUUUGAACCAAGGACAAAUUCUUCAGGUACUGUAAAACCAAAACCAACGGAAACUGAAAACAUAAAGCUAACUCCAAAGAGCAUCAGUGAGCCCAAAGCCACAGUUCAUCACAGUUCACAGUUCACAGCCGGGAAUGUAAACAUGCUGUCCCUCACAGUGCUGGGGCUCCGGAUGGUGUUUGCCAAGAGUCUUGCCAUCAAUUUUCUCUUGACUGCCAAGUUAUUUUUCUUUUAAGGCUGACUGGCUUCAGAAGGCUGCCUUAUGAAACUCCCACAUUAUGUCUUCACAAAAGCCUACAGAGGAGCUGUCUCUUAGACUUCUGGCUUCUCGGUGAUUCAAGGUGACCGAUCCCAGUCUUGCUUAAGUGGCUGCUACCCAAACCAUCAAAGCAACAAACCCAGCUCAUUUUCCAGCUUUGUGGAAAGACACAAGUCCUAGGGAGUAGGGCGUUAUGGUCCUAACUGCUCUAUCUGUUGCUUUAUAAAGGAAUAUAGGACUCAUUUUUUUUUAUUAUUAUUUCUACAACAGAUACACUUUGAAAAUAGUGUUUUGUUCCCUUAACUUUCUUUGCCUUCAAAAGUAGAAAGUGGGAGCCAACAGAUUCCCAGCUCCAUACUCCCAGAGGAAAACAGACCCUGGGGGUUGGAGAGAAGAUGCCCUUCACCUAAGAGGAAUGGCUUUUUUCAGCCCAGCACUAGGUUUGCCUCAAGCUGGCAUUCUCAUCCACAAAAGCACUUUCUGCUUUCCUUAGUACUUUACAAACAAAAUUAAAUUUGACUUCUCAUGCAGCCAAUGGGGUUUCUAAAGCCUCAUCUAAAUACUCUCC